UACGUAGGGGGCAAGCGUUGUCCGGAAUCAUUGGGCGUAAAGAGCGUGUAGGCGGCUUGGUAAGUCCGCUGUGAAAGUCCAGGGCUCAACCCUGGAAAGCCGGUGGAAACUGUCAAGCUCGAGUCCGGAAGAGGCGAGUGGAAUUCCUGGUGUAGUGGUGAAAUGCGCAGAUAUCGGGAAGAACACCCGUGGCGAAGGCGGUUCUCUGGGACGGUACUGACGCUGAGACGCGAAGGCGUGGGGAGCGAACAGG
rnacentral:rRNA from 1 species